rnacentral:rRNA from 1 species
AAGGGGAGCAAUCCCUGAGUAAAGUGGCGACCGGGUGAGUAACACGUGACUAACCUACCCUCGAGUGUGGAAUAACAUCGGGAAACCGAUGCUAAUACCGCAUAACAUCGCAAGAUCUAAGGAGCAAUCCGCUUGAGGAGGGGGUCGCGUGUGAUUAGCUACUUGGCGGAGUAACGGCCCACCAAGGCGAAGAUCGGUAGCCGGCCUGAGAGGGCGCACGGCCACACUGGAACUGAAACACGGUCCAGACUCCUACGGGAGGCAACUCUGAGGAAUUUUGCGCAAUGGGAGAUAUCCUGACGCAGCAACGCCGCGAGGAGGAUGAAGCCCCUUGAG